rnacentral:lncRNA from 1 species
GGACGACGUGCACUGCUACGACCCGGCGACACGGGCGUGGGCUGUGGUGGAGACCACGGGCGACAGGCCGAGCCCACGGAGCGUGUUCUGCGGCGCCGGGAUCGGGCGGCACGUCGUGGUGUUUGGCGGCGAGGUGGAUCCCAGCGACCUCGGACACCUCGGCGCCGGCAAGUUCUCGGCCGAGGCGUUCGCGCUCGACACGGAGACCCGCGCGUGGACGCGGCUGGUGGACGACGACGACAAGGCGGAGGCGGAGGCGGAGCAGCAGCAGCACCCCGGGCCACGCGGGUGGUGCGCGUUCGCGGCGGGGGAGAAGGAUGGCCGGCAAGGGCUGCUGGUGUAUGGCGGCAACUCGCCGACCAACGACCGGCUCGACGACAUCUACUUCUUCGCGCCCGUUCUUGAAGCUGCGGCCGCAAGCUA